GUAAUUAUAUGGGUAAGUUUAAUUGCUUUUAAAUUUCAGACAUUUCCAAUUGUGUACUAUCAUGGAAGGAGAAGGAACGUUACGCAGAAGAUUAUGUUGAUGUAUUGAAAAAAGUGAUAAACACCAUAAAAAUAACACCUGAUGUUGUAAUAACAGAUUUUGAAAAAGCAGAAUUGAAAGCAAUCAAAACAGUUUUCCCCUAAGCAAAAACUAUUGGCUACUUCUUUCUUACAACCAGACUUGGAUAAAUGGCUUUAAAUCCGAUUUAUUUUCUGUGUUCAAAGAAAUGGACAGAACAAAUAACGCGUCAGAGAGACACAAUCGCGAGCUGAAACAAAGUCUCCAAAAGCAUUCAAGAAUUAUAACAUUUUUAGGUAAUCUAACUGAACAUCAAAAAGACAUCAGAAGUAUGAUGAAACAUCUAAAAUUCUAAACAAGAUUACAGCUUUAUAGUCUGAAACAAAAAAAGCCAAAUUAAAAAUAUUUGGCAAGAUAUAGAAACAAAUAUGAACAAUGUAGAACUUAUCAUUAAUUUUAAAUAAAUUAACAAAACUGGUUGGAAGAAAUAAAAUUGAGGGGCUGGAUACUAUAAGGGGAUAUGCGUGGAUUUCGCAGGAUAAAUAUUGUCCGCAAGGGCUAAUUUUGGACAUCGCUCUAAUUUCAAUUUUGACGACUGAUUCUUAGAGAAUUUCAUAGCGCAUCUUUUUUGUCUUUAAACCAAAUUUGGAAGAUUUUUUGUUUUCAAGUUAUAAACAAAAUAAUAAUUUUUUUAAUGAAAAAAUUUCAAUAGGUUUUUGUGUUCAACUCGCCAUAU